rnacentral:snoRNA from 1 species
ACAUCAAGAUUUGGACAUAUCCUAAACACACUUUUGAACCUGUCCCAUGCUUCUGGAUGUCUCAUGGUCCUUCUGUCUAAAAAGAUACACUUCAUUUCUGAUUU